rnacentral:rRNA from 1 species
UACGUAGGGGCAAGCGUUGUCCGGAAUCAUUGGCGUAAAGAGCGUGUAGGCGGUCCGGUAAGUCGGCUGUGAAAGUCCAGGGCUCAACCCUGGGAUGCCGGUCGAUACUGCCGGACUAGAGUUCGGAAGAGGCGAGUGGAAUUCCCGGUGUGAGCGGUGAAAUGCGCAGAUAUCGGAGGAACACCUAUGGCGAAGGCAGCUCGCUGGGACGUACUGACGCUGAGACGCGAAGCGUGGGAGCAAACAGG